UACAGAGGUCUCAAGCGUUGUUCGGAUUCAUUGGGCGUAAAGGGUGCGUAGGUGGCGCCGUAAGUCAGGUGUGAAAUUUCGGAGCUUAACUCCGAAACUGCAUUUGAUACUGCGGUGCUUGAGGACUGGAGAGGAGACUGGAAUUUACGGUGUAGCAGUGAAAUGCGUAGAGAUCGUAAGGAAGACCAGUGGCGAAGGCGGGUCUCUGGACAGUUCCUGACACUGAGGCACGAAGGCCCAGGGGGAGCAAAACGGGG
rnacentral:rRNA from 1 species